rnacentral:lncRNA from 1 species
ACACUCCUCAAUCAAUAAUGCCGCCUUAUCUGCCUUCUAAAGAAAGGAUAAAUGGAAAAGGGAAGGAAGGAAAGCCACCGGUCCUGCAAAGAUUCCCAUAUCCUUGUGCUGUUACCUUUCUGGAUUCUGCCCGUUGCCUGAAAAGCUGACAGGAUCUGAAGGGGAUCAAACUCGGGUCCUCUGGCUUGCAAGGCAAACGUUGUAAGAGCCAAAAAGGUAUGUUUUAAGUUUUAAUUACUGUGCCUAAGAGAUCCAUGGAACAAAAAACUGUUGCUAACCUUUAAGUGUCUUGCCCAAGGACAGAUCUUUCCCCGAAAUGCUAGAAGCUAUUGCUUAUGGGAGAAAACAAGCCACAUGCUUCACUCCCCUAAACAAGUUUAUUUGGCCUAACCGUACUGGAUGUAGGUGUGAGGUACGUAGGCAGGAAAUACGUCAGGAUGUAUGCUUGCCCCUGAUUGGAUGUAAGUGGGAGGUACACAGACAAGAAGUGCUUCAGGAUAUAUGCUUGCCGCUGAUUGGACCUGCUGAGAAAAAUGUAACCUUAUGGGUUUGCCUUUAUAAGCCUCUGCAAAAUAUAUGACUUGUAGACAUUUUCUGGGAACCCAGGAAUGGACCUGGCUAGAGUCCAUCAUCUUGGCCAGUAUUCAAUUAAUUGCUUCAAAUAUGGCUCAAGAUUAUGGUAGUGGUCUUAUUCUUGCCCAGUGGGAUUAGCAACGUCUAUUGAGUUAUCACUUUUUAUACUUGGUCCUGUGUCCUAGCGGGAACCAUCAAGUAAACAGCCAUCGGAUAACUGAGAUUAUCUUUAAGCCUAGUUAAGGGACACACCCUCAAAGGGAGUCUAUGGGUCGGUAAGACUGAAAUUUAGAGGGUUGUCCAUGUCAAAGCAGGGCCUGUUGUAGGUACACUGGCUGGCAGGGAGUCCCGAGGGUUCCCAAAUAAAGCAAAGAUGGGAAUAAAGAGAAGGCAUGAGUACCCCUGAGCUGGAGUUACAGAAUCCCCCCCCCCC